rnacentral:rRNA from 1 species
UAAGGAAUAUUGGUCAAUGGGCGGAAGCCUGAACCAGCCAUGCCGCGUGCAGGAAGACGGCCCUACGGGUUGUAAACUGCUUUUGUACCGGAAUAAACCCCCAUUCGUGAAUGGGGCUGAAUGUACGGUAAGAAUAAGGAUCGGCUAACUCCGUGCCAGCAGCCGCGGUAAUACGGAGGAUCCGAGCGUUAUCCGGAUUUAUUGGGUUUAAAGGGUGCGUAGGCGGCUUGUUAAGUCAGGGGUGAAAGACGGUAGCUCAACUAUCGCAGUGCCCUUGAUACUGAUGAGCUUGAAUGUACUAGAGGUAGGCGGAAUGUGACAAGUAGCGGUGAAAUGCAUAGAUAUGUCACAGAACACCAAUUGCGAAGGCAGCUUACUAUGGUAUGAUUGACGCUGAGGCACGAAAGCGUGGGGAUCAAACAG